AUCUUUUCAUGAAGAUUUGGGAAACUUAGUCCACAGACCAGAAAAUCACCAAGAAUUUGAGUAAGUUCUCUUCUAACAGAUUUCUUGAUUUUAGGAUCUCAAACGAUGGAUUGUUUAGAUUUUGGGACCGAAUUUGGGUUCUUGUCCCUAUUAAGAUGGAUGUUCCCAAGGCUACCCAUACCUCCAAACUAUCCAUCCAUUCCGAA
rnacentral:lncRNA from 1 species